ensembl:lncRNA
UCAGGGAGAAGAGCUGCAGGUUGGAUGGUGGCUGAGGAAAGGGAAGCAGCCAAGAGGGAAGAGCAGCAAAGACAGUGCUGUGUGUUCUGCCCCAAGCUCCGUUUGGAAGCCAGGAGAAAGGUCCACGCUGUCAGGUUACAGAUGGGACGGGAAGGAUGUUUGGGUCUGACCAAUGGAACCAUGGCAAGCCUGGGGGAAAGGGGCUGAGCCCAACGGUCACAGAAGCCCGUUGGGGGAGGGGCUCCCUAACUGCCACUCUCCAGCUGUCAUGGCAGAGAGAAUCCCUCGAGGAGCGCUGACGGUGCCUGUGACGCCUGACGCCACUUUCCCCCAACCCACUGUGCCGCCACCGGACCCCGCCUGGAUGCAGCCCACCAUCCGCGGACCGAUGCCGGUACCGGCACUGCAGCAGCACGUGCUCCCCGUGCCCUGCACCCUGCCCGACACCUGGGAGCCGCCCAUGGAGCCCUUGCAAGACGCCGUGCUGCUCAUGGAGGACCAGGGGCACCCAGCGCCCACCCACGCCUGCCCCCAUCCCGACACGGCUCCGCUCACCUGCAGCGCUGCCACAAUCAGGCCGACAUCAGGCCGUGAGUUCAGGGGCUGCACAGCACCCGGCUGCCUGUGGGAAAGCUGCCGGCAUUGCCCCACUGGGGAUCUUCUGGCUUUUUCCAAGCACGGACACAAGCCGCAGGCACCCCGCAGGACACCGCAGACAUGGAUCAUCUGCUGGCAUGGAUCGACCACGAAGUCACAUCCCAGACGGCCAUCCUGGACGACAGUAACGACUUUGACCAGCUGCUGACGUGGAUCAGCCAGGAAGAGACACCCAGGAGCAACAGACGAGAGGACGACGAGGAAAAUGGACAGUUUCCUCACGUGCAUUCUUGGUGAGUUUGUGGCUACAGAGGUGAUUGACGGGUGCUGUCUGCACCCAGCAGCGUGUGGAAGGCUGCCAUCAUCCUGCUCUGGGGAUGCUCUUGCUUUUCAGAAGCGACGAGUGCUCUGGAGGUCCCCCAGCACAACCAGGGCCUGCCUGCAGUCAAAAGAGAGGGGACCAGAGAGAACGAGAACAGCACAGAGCACCCUGACUCCCCGGGGGGCCAGCAGGGAGCUCAGCAAAGAGCGACCAAUCCUGAGUCAGGCUCCUGGCAAACCCGCCUCUGGCCGCAGCCAGCAUCCCUGAGCUGCCUGAGCCGACCCCCCUGGCUGCCCCCGCACCUCCGUCGCCCCGCACCGCACAUCUGAUGGAAGAGGCGCGGCGGAGGCAGCCCCGGGUGCAUCUCAGACGCCUGGCACUGCCACCCGGGUGCAUCUCCUGCCGGCUGGCAGACAAGGACAAGCAGCACGGGGACAGCAGCCAGCCGGCCAAGCACCCCGUGCCUCCUCUGAUGCAAACUGGACAGCUCAUGGAGGAGGCACGGCGAAGGCAGCCCCGAGUGCUUCUCACCCGCCUGGCACUGCCCACCCCCCUGGCUGCCCCCGCACCUCCGUCGCCCUGCACUGCACACCUGAUGGAGGAGGCACGGCGGAGGCAGCCCCGGGUGCUGCUCAGCCGCCUUUGACUGCCACCCGGCUGCAUCUCCUGACAAAUGGCACACAAGCAGCACGGGGACAGCAGCCAGCCGGCCAAGUGCCCAGCACCCACCUGCACCACCACAAGAGGCCAGAGCAGCGCGCACAAGCAGCACACUGGCAGCCAGUGUCCCCGCCACAACCAGGAAGACACCGCGCUGCCAGCAUGUUCCAGGCCACAACCACCGGCGCUAGGCGGAGCUGCCUGUGUCAGCACGGCGGCCGGCAGGAGACUCGCUGCCAUC